rnacentral:snoRNA from 1 species
AUGCAGUGAUGAUCCUUUAAGUGGUGGUUUCAAUUCACUGAGUGUUGAAUGAAGACCUGUAUUUCCUUGGCUGUGUCUGAGCAC